rnacentral:misc_RNA from 1 species
AAGUCGUAACAAGGUCUCCGUAGGUGAACCUGCGGAGGGAUCAUUAACACGUAUCCACACGUUUAAACCAAAACCGCGCUCUUUAUUUGCCCAUGUCGGAAGGUGUACAUGUAAGCCACAAGGUAGAUUCGAGUGCUUUACCGCACUCGUCUGCUUGCAGUACUAUGGUUCCCUUGAGAACCGAACCGAUUCGAUCAUGGUGUAUGAAAGCUAUCUUGGUUAUCAGUGCCAACCCGGUCUCGACCCGGAGCCUGGUAGCCUUAUUAAUCCUUAUUUUUAACCCCUUUCUUUAUACUAAACUGAUUUUACUCUUGACUGUGAGCCCUCGGGUUCCAGUGAGAUGUAUACGAAACGCGAACAACUCUUAGCAACGGAUAUCUUGGUUCUC